rnacentral:rRNA from 1 species
AUGCUCCAGGCCGCGAACUACGCGUCCUUCUCCUUGGACUACACGCUGGAGCUGAAAGAGAAGCUGGCGGUGAGGGACGCCGAGGUUGCCGCUCUGCGGGAGCAGCUGGAGAGUGCGAAGGGUGAUCUGACCGCGGGGAAGCGGGCGGCGGAGGCUGUGGUGGAGAGCGCCAGGACGACGGCGGUGCAGGAGUUCCUGGCUUCCGAGGAGCACAAGCGGCGCCUCGCGGAGCACGCGCUGGCGGGGUACGAGCGCGGCGCCGAGGAGAUGAAGCGCGCUGUUCUCCGGUUACACCCUCACCUCGACGCCGCCCGGCUGGUCGUGCCGCUGGCAUAG